rnacentral:rRNA from 1 species
UACGUAGGGUGCGAGCGUUGUCCGGAAUUAUUGGGCGUAAAGAGCUCGUAGGCGGUCUGUCGCGUCGAUCGUGAAAACUUGGGGCUUAACUCUGAGCUUGCGGUCGAUACGGGCAUGACUGGAGUUCGGCAGGGGAGACUGGAAUUCCUGGUGUAGCGGUGAAAUGCGUAGAUAUCAGGAGGAACACCGGUGGCGAAGGCGCACAUCUGGCCCGAUACUGACGCUGAGGCGCGAAAGCUAGGGGAGCAAACGGG